UUCAGGUUGUUUUGUUGCUUUAAUUAAUUUAUUAUUAACAACAAUAUAAAAUUAUGCACAAAAGGAAUUACUAAUGUAAAAAAAAAGCAACAACGUGGUUUUAUUUAUACAUGUUUAUAUAUAAAUAUAUAUGGUGGCCCCUAGUGAGAAAGCACGUACAAACUCCAAAACACAUUUCUAGCAUUAACUGAACUUCCAAAACAGAGCUACUGUCACGGGUUCAAAAUAUUGGGGAUGGAUACAGGAGGAAAACCAAAAUAACAACACUGGUCCGGCCGGGUCAAGUCAAGCGAUGAUUUUAAUGCACACGUGUGGGAGAUGGGACACUGUACGCAGACAGCACCAGAUCUCUCACCGAAAACCACACAACAAUAGUUUUUAUGAACAUCAGGGUAUUGGAACGCCCCCUCAUGCGUAAAGUAGGUACAAUACAAUCAAUGUUGACAACUUUUAACACAUUAAAAGAACAUCUUCUUCUUCCCGAGGCCAGAUCCUUCCCAGUAAUCUUCUAACUCUGCUUAUCCCCUGGAACAAACAGUCUCUCCUGCAAGCAUAAUCAAACAGCUACAAGGCUUUGCAAACUAUUAUUUAAAUAUUUGAACUCUCCCCUCUACAUGAAUUUAACUGCUGCUUGUGUGUGUGCGUGUGUGCCUCGACCUCAGCAUUCACUCUGUCUAUAAGGACAGAGGCCAACUCUUCAUGUGUGCAAUAACCUAACUGAAACCAUACAUGUAAUAAAUGUUCUAAUCAAAUGCCACUACUCAAAGCUUAAUAAAAAGAGUAUAAAUGAAUAAAGGAUAAUGAUGAAUAACAUGAUAUAUGUGUUUUGUAAGCAUGUGCGGCCUUAAAUUACACAAUUGAAAGCAUAUGUGUAUUGUUUGUGUAUUUAUACACAAACACUCAUAUAUAUUCAAAUAAUUUUAAAAAAAAGUUCAUUUACCUGUUACUACCACACACCAAAUCCAGUCGUUGGUACUUCCUGGCUUGUGUAGCCACUAGGUAACAAAAGCUCAACACUGCGCUUAGCAUCCUGGAGCACUUCUGUUGUGUUUGGUACGUGUUUUGGAGUUUGUAUGUGCUUCAGAGUUUUUACGUGUUUUGGAGUUGUACGUGUUUUGUCUCUAGGGGCCACCGUAAAUAUACUUUUAUUUAUUCACUCCACUUAAAAUGUAAUAAAUAAAUCAUAUAAUACAAAUUAUACAAAAUAUAAUACAAAAACCAACUCUUCACAUUUCAACUUUUUCUAUUUAAAUUUUCAGCUUUUCCCUUUUAAACAAAUUUAAAGUGAAACAACACAAAACACUGCAAACCACAACACAAUUAAAUAUAAAUUAAAAUAUGAAAACAAAAAGAAGAUGCACAUUCUCUGUCAUAUGGGCCUGCAUGAAUAAACUUUCUGAAUCCUUUAUCAUCCGCAACUGAAAAUAGUUGUGGAUGAUUACUAUACCUUUCUAAUGUGACGAUGUUGUCCCUGGCUCUCUUUCUCUCUCUCUCCCUCCCGCUCUGUUCCUGUGCUACUGCGAGUGUAACUACUGCCCCUCCCCCCUCUGCCCAGCGCAAAGCACAAGGCUCGCGUGCGGAGUGAAGCGGAAAAAAAGUGCGAGAGAGAGGGUAAGAUAAAGAAGAAAAACCCCACGGCCCCCAAUAAGGAGCCGGCUCGCGUUGUUCACUUCAAAGAGCCAGCUCUAAGAGCCGUUUCGUUUGCGACCGACACAUCACUAGGGCGCACUGAAGAGGCGAGGCUGCCGGACACUGGAGAUACAGAAGUUCUGGAGGGAGUUAACUUUACCAAUAAAUACAAAUCUUCUUUAAGCCACAAACAGAAUAAGGAGUACCUGAGAGAUGACCUCAUCAGACAGGUGAGUUCUGGAGCAUACUCAGCA
ensembl:lncRNA